GUUGUCGGGGGAGGCUUGCAGCAGCGACAUGCGUGUCGAGUGGGGGAGGGCUAAAGUGGUAAAGCCUAUUACCGCACCGACGCGGCCCUGCACCCAGGAGGCGGUGGAGAUCGCCAGGAGAGGAGGUGCGCACCUCAUCAAUGAUGGAACGGCCAUGGAAUUGCCGCCUGCUUGGAACUGCCUGGUGUCUGCCUCUGCGAAGCCCGGGGGCGCCGUGUCCGCGACUUGGCAAUGAUUUUUCCACAGUGACCGCCAGUAGUGGCCUUUUGCGAGAUAGUAUUGCUGGACAGUUUGCCCUUUGGCCGCUGCCAUAGUAACGUGGGGGCGCGCAGUCGCAGACUGGAGCUUUCAGGGGCCUUCUAAUUACGUUUUUUCGCUUUUGUUUUGAAAUGUUUUGUUCUGGAGUCUGAUUCUUUGUUCGGUUGGCCUGUGAAUGUGGGCCUGAGGAUGGCGGCUUGCACCGUCGAAGGCGUUAGUGAGGAG
rnacentral:lncRNA from 1 species